UACGGGGGGGGUAAGCGUUGUUCGGAAUUACUGGGCGUAAAGGGCUCGUAGGCGGCCAACUAAGUCAGACGUGAAAUCCCUCAGCUUAACUGGGGAACUGCGUCUGAUACUGGAUGGCUUGGAUUUGGGAGAGGGAUGCGGAAUUCCAGGUGUAGCGGUGAAAUGCGUAGAUAUCGGGAGGAACACCAGUGGCGAAGGCGACUACCUGGCCUGUUCUUGACGCUGAGGCGCGAAAGCUAGGGGAGCAAACGGG
rnacentral:rRNA from 1 species